rnacentral:lncRNA from 1 species
AAAUGCUAAGCUGUGUGGGUGAUCCUUUUAAGCAGGCCAUAUGUGUGUGUUUGGAGAGGUUGGAAGUCAAGGAAAGAAAGGAGCCAAAUGUCCUUAUUCUGAUGGGACAGAAGGUGGAGAACUGCACAAAUGGAGGAAUUUAGAAGGAACAAAGUUUUUCACAAUGUGGACCAUCUUUACAUGUUUAUUGCUUAUUCAUAUUUCCAGG